rnacentral:rRNA from 1 species
AACACGUAGGUAACCUGCCCAUGUGCCCGGGAUAACUUCUGGAAACGGAUGCUAAAACCGGAUAGGUAGCAGACAAGCAUUUGACUGCUAUUAAAGUGGCUAAGGCCAUGAACAUGGAUGGACCUGCGGUGCAUUAGCUAGUUGGUGAGGUAACGGCCCACCAAGGCGACGAUGCAUAGCCGGCCUGAGAGGGCGGACGGCCACAUUGGGACUGAGACACGGCCCAAACUCCUACGGGAGGCAGCAUG